GAUGAACGCUGGCGGCGUGCCUAAUACAUGCAAGUCGAGCGAACAGACGAGGAGCUUGCUCCUCUGACGUUAGCGGCGGACGGGUGAGUAACACGUGGAUAACCUACCUAUAAGACUGGGAUAACUUCGGGAAACCGGAGCUAAUACCGGAUAAUAUAUUGAACCGCAUGGUUCAAUAGUGAAAGACGGCUUUGCUGUCACUUAUAGAUGGAUCCGCGCCGCAUUAGCUAGUUGGUAAGGUAACGGCUUACCAAGGCAACGAUGCGUAGCCGACCUGAGAGAGUGAUCGGCCACACUGGAACUGAGACACGGUCCAGACUCCUACGGGAGGCAGCAGUAGGGAAUCUUCCGCAAUGGGCGAAAGCUUGACGGAGCAACGCCGCGUGAGUGAUGAAGGUCUUCGGAUCGUAAAACUCUGUUAUUAGGGAAGAACAAAUGUGUAAGUAACUAUGCACGUCUUGACGGUACCUAAUCAGAAAGCCACGGCUAACUACGUG
rnacentral:rRNA from 1 species